rnacentral:lncRNA from 1 species
CAUUUGGCUGAACACUCACAAAGUAGAAUCCAGGACUGGAAUCCUGGAGAGCUCAGGCUUUCAGAGUUGAAGAGCUGGUAGGUGUUAGCGCAGCCACACACACCUAGUCUCUAGAUUCCUAACGCAGUGACUGUUACAAAACCAGGCCACCCCAGAUAGGAACGAAAGGACUAGGAAAACAUGAACGAAGCAGAGAGAAAGAAAUGACGAGGGGUAAAUCUGCGGCAGAGUAACCCAGUACAAUCCCCAUCUCUCCCUUCCGCCCUGGGGCGGAAUCCAAGGCUCACCGAGGGCGGCAGCGGCCAGGGCCGGGUUGUGUGGGCUGAGGAGGCCCACGAGGGUUGACACCAGCUGAUCCAGGAAGGGCAAAGAUAUGACC